CCCAGGUUACGUGGGUAACCCCAGUGUGCAAGGGGGCCAGUGCCUGCCAGAGACAAACCAAGCCCCACUGGUGGUCGAGGUCCAUCCUGCUCGAAGCAUAGUGCCCCAAGGUGGCUCCCACUCCCUGCGGUGUCAGGUCAGUGGGAGCCCACCCCACUACUUCUAUUGGUCCCGUGAGGAUGGGCGGCCUGUGCCCAGCGGCACCCAGCAGCGACAUCAAGGCUCCGAGCUCCACUUCCCCAGCGUCCAGCCCUCGGAUGCUGGGGUCUACAUUUGCACCUGCCGUAAUCUCCACCAAUCCAAUACCAGCCGGGCAGAGCUGCUGGUCACUGAGGCUCCAAGCAAGCCCAUCACAGUGACUGUGGAGGAGCAGCGGAGCCAGAGCGUGCGCCCCGGAGCUGACGUCACCUUCAUCUGCACAGCCAAAAGCAAGGUGUGCAGUCCCCAGCCUAUACCCUGGUGUGGACCCGCCUGCACAACGGGAAACUGCCCACCCGAGCCAUGGAUUUCAAUGGCAUCCUGACCAUUCGCAACGUCCAGCUGAGUGAUGCAGGCACCUACGUGUGCACCGGCUCCAACAUGUUUGCCAUGGACCAGGGCACAGCCACUCUACAUGUGCAGG
rnacentral:lncRNA from 1 species